rnacentral:rRNA from 1 species
UGAGGAACAUGACCUUCGGCGGGGGAUAGCCGGCCCAACGGCCGGGUAAUACCGCGUACGACCAUUUUGGGACAUCCCUGAAUGGUGAGAGCAGCAAUGCGCCGAUGGAGUGCCUCGCGGCCUAUCAGCUAGUUGGUGGGGUAACGGCCUACCAAGGCGUCGACGGGUAGCUGGCGUGAGAGCGUGGCCAGCCACACUGGGACUGAGAUACGGCCCAGACUCCUACGGGAGCAG